CCUCAGUUAUAUGACUAUUUCCAAUUCUGGGCACAAAAUUUAAGGAGAGUGUGUAGGGUGCUAAAAAGGUUUCUGAAAAUUAUUCCAUGGAUGAGGGACUCCAGUUACGUGGUAUGUCUCAUUGAAGAAGAAAAGGUCAAGAGGAGAUUUAGUAGACGAAUUCAAUUCAUGAGGUGUCUGGGCAGAGCAGUCGAUGAAAAACUGUUCCAUUUGUUGGCAAGAUGGAGAGUGAAGAACACCAAGUUAAGGUCUGACAAGAAGUUAUACAGUUACUCACCUGUGGGCCUUUUUGGUCCCAGCUUCCAAUGAGAGAUCCUACAGAAGUCACCAAUUCAAGAAAUUUUCCAAACAAGAGCUCAGAAAAUCUUUGUAGACUCCAUGCUCUCUUCAUAUGGCAUUAGCUGCUGUAUUCCGGAAGUGAUUUGCACUAGCUGUGUGGUCAAAGCUCGAGCAACAGUGAACAUGAGAGAUGCUGCUAGACCUGUGGAGUUUCCUCAGCAUUUACUGCUUUUUGUUUCACUUCAAGCUACUUUUACUUUAAGGAAGUUUCUAAAGAACAUUAACUAGGGCAGUGGUUGAUAAUGCUAAAUUGAGAAAAAUAUUGAAAAUA